UGUUAAUUUCGUAGCUUCGUCUGCUGCCCCGUUUUCCGGCCCUGCGCUGGCCCUUCUUCAUGUGCCUGCCUCUGUAAGGGGACCAUGGUGGGUCUUUGUUGUCGAGCUGCAGGCAGAAGUUCUCGAGCUGCAGCAAUUGCAACCACUGCUUGUAAGCAAGGAGUUGUGAGGCCUGCUUGAAAAACAGAGUGAUUAUGUGCUCCUUCUCUGUAUAGGCUUGCUUUGCGGCUUUCUCUGCGUUCCUCGCUCGCGUUUGAGAGUGACACAAAGCUUCCAAU
rnacentral:lncRNA from 1 species